AAAAAUCGAAGAAGCCCCAAUAUACUUCCCUUAGUGGCUUAUUGGACAGCCCAUGCCUAAACGAGUCACUGCAGAGGUGAAGGAGUCAAGCAAGACCGGCUUAGGCCAACUAUGAUUUUUCUCCUGAAGAUGGACCCACCUUCCCAGAGCAUCUUUUGGCUCCAUAACUAAGAAGUAGGGUUGUUGACAAAAUAGGAGGAGAUGGAUUCUAGGUGGGGAGCAGUGGCUUCCCCAGGAGGAAGACAUAAUUGUGUUCUGGAGCUCAGUUGCAGAAUACAUUAACUGGAUAUUAAUAGUUGCAGCCGCACUUGCAAGCUGACCAUCCUCCGGAGACCAGCGCAUCCAGGAGGCGGGAGGACCACAGCGGGGCCACGGGCAGGGCGGGUGCCACUCACCGCCCAGCCCCGCCCUCCCGGACCGACGGCCCACGGGAGCCGGCGGGCGGGGCCGCGCUGCCCUUUAAAGAUCGGAGGGAGCCGGGUUCCCGGGAAACGAGCAUCGGGGUGCAGCAGCGGGGGAGUGCACUGCCAUGUCCCUGCAGGCUGAUUUUGAUAGAGCGGCGGAAGAUGUGAGGAAGCUGAAAGCAAGGCCAGAUGAUGAAGAACUGAAGGAACUUUACGGGCUCUACAAACAAUCUGUAAUUGGAGACAUCAAUAUUGAGUGUCCAGGAAUGCUAGAUUUAAAGGGCAAGGCUAAGUGGGAAGCAUGGAACCUCCAAAAAGGAUUAUCGAAGGAAGAUGCCAUGAAUGCCUAUAUUUCUAAAGCAAAAGAGCUGAUAGAAAAAUAUGGAAUUUAGAAUUCAGCGUAUGAGAAAACUUUUCUUUUGAAGCCUUCGUAAUGUUUUGCCUCAAGAUAGAAGUCUUACACAAUGAGUCAACAUCCAAAUCCAACAGUGAGAAGACAUCAGCAGUGGAGGCCUGGUCCUUCCAAUCGAAGCCUUGAAAACUCUCAGAGCUAUUCCCAUGUGGACCUCACCUCCCCAGGUGGAGAGGCAGAUCCAACAAAGCAUGUCAAGUCACAAGAUAGAAUGGCCUCAGAUGGUGCAUUAAAGCUGUAAACAGAAAAGAACCAG